AUUGAACGCUGGCGGCAUGCCUUACACAUGCAAGUCGAACGGCAGCACGGGGGCAACCCUGGUGGCGAGUGGCGAACGGGUGAGUAAUACAUCGGAACGUGUCCUGUAGUGGGGGAUAGCCCGGCGAAAGCCGGAUUAAUACCGCAUACGAUCUACGGAAGAAAGCGGGGGAUCUUCGGACCUCGCGCUAUAGGGGCGGCCGAUGGCAGAUUAGCUAGUUGGUGGGGUAAAGGCCUACCAAGGCGACGAUCUGUAGCUGGUCUGAGAGGACGACCAGCCACACUGGGACUGAGACACGGCCCAGACUCCUACGGGAGGCAGCAGUGGGGAAUUUUGGACAAUGGGGGAAACCCUGAUCCAGCAAUGCCGCGUGUGUGAAGAAGGCCUUCGGGUUGUAAAGCACUUUUGUCCGGAAAGAAAACUUCGGGGCUAAUACCUCUGGAGGAUGACGGUACCGGAAGAA
rnacentral:rRNA from 1 species